rnacentral:lncRNA from 1 species
UAAUAAAGAAGGAAUUACAGAGCAUACUAUUUUAUUCUAAUUUAUACAAUUUUAACAUACGGUACUUUAUUCAUUUCCAAGGGGACUACUUAAUACAGAAAUAAAACAGCACCUAUCUUUGUCAAGUGUAUUCAAGUAAAUGUUUUUGUAGGUAAACUUUUGCACUGCAAAUUAAGAUACAAUUGCAGAAGACGGGAAAAAGCUUUUUAAAUGCUAUUUUCUGUGAAAUCCAAGUUUCAAUGCUCAUUCAUCAACUACUGAAAUAAAGAUAACCAUUCUUUAAUACUGUUUAAUACUGUUACAAAACAGUGUUGCCAAGAGGUCCAAAUGCUUUUUAAGUGAACCUUUCACUUUAAUUAGUUUGGUAGCCCACAGGGCACAAUUAUGUACUGUGAUGAAGCUACAAUGAAUAUGGCUUUCCUAUGCUGAUAACAUCGUUCAAGUUUCACACAGGCAAUCUGACAACUAAGCGGGUUACAGUCCUGCAGAUAUAUCGAGUAAUACAUCUUUGCACACACAGAUUACAUAUAAAAUUAUUGCCAUAGUAAGAUCUUGUUCCAUUAUGUAUCUUAUAUAGGACAAUUAGGACAUACCUGUGCUGCAUUAUGAAACAGCUACCCAAACCAAGUAAACAUUUCUCCUAAUAGCACUAAACUUGUAUGCAGCCUCUCUCAAACACAUCUAAUAAUAUCUAACUCAGAUUUGAGUUUAUACUGACUAGGAAUGCAUUAUAGUAUUCAUGUAAUAAACAGGAUGGAGCUAAAUACUGAUCAAUGCAAAGAUUUUCUGUACCUUUUCACAGAAGCUGAACUGCAGUGCUGGAAUGAUAAUUUGCUGUUGUCAUAGAUCAUUCAGUCAUCAGCAACAUUACAUCAAAAGACUUACAUAAAAUUCACAGUCAAGAUGACAGAGGAAGUUUUUCCAACAGUACUAAUUUUGGUUUUAAGUUUAAAGUAAAAGGAGGUAGUGCAGUAAGGUUCAACCCAAUUUUACUGAUGCCAGGAAUAUUUGCCAGCGGCCUGUGGGUUGUCUUGUAAUGUGAUAUCUGAAGAGGGUUUGUUUCCAUCAGUAUGUGUGUAUAAGAAAACAUCAGUUGGUCUCCUGGUUUAACAUCCUCUCUUUUGUCGUACCUCCAAUCUG